CAAGUUUCUCUCUUUCUCUCUCUAUAUUAUCGAGCGUAUUCUUGUGAGUAUACUUUGAGCAUUGCUAUACGGUGCAAGUUUAUGUCAGCACUAUACCGAAAUUCAGUCAGAAGUACGGUUAUUUUAAGGUAAGGGAUAUUAUUUUUUUCGUAAUAAUAUUAUUUCUUCAAUAUCAUUAUGCUGAAGUAUUGAUCUGAACUUUUUAAUCAAAUUUGGAACUUUUAGUGUCGGGGUUACUAUUCACGUAUACGGUACUAUUCACGUAUACGGCACUAUUCACGAAUACGGCACUAUUCAUCGAAAAAUGAAAAUUUUUCUUUUUAUCCAAAAUAUCUAUUCUGGAUACUAGCUUUGAUUGUAUCCAUAUUUUGAUCAUUCUUGAAUUUUACACCAAUAUGAUUAUUUUUGAGGUAUUUUUGGACAUGGGUAAAACAAAGUACGAAUCCUUAAUCAUUAAUCCUUGUCAUUUUGUUUCACUGGAUUCGUAUCUUUAAAAAUAAUUUUCAUCAUCCUCAGUCUUAAAUGAUGAUAUAAAUGAAUAUCUUUGGCCUGUAGUGCAAAGAUGAACGAUUAACUGAUGAAUAUCUUUGGCCUGUAGUGCAGAGAUGAACAGGUGUUGAGAUGAACAUAACCAACUGGUGAUUUAAAUGAAUAUCUUUGGCCUGUAGUGCAAAGAUGAAUAUUGAUUGUUGUUACAGGGAUAAAAUAUUGAUGAUGAACUUUUAAACCUUAGAAGACAGUAGAAUUCUUUCUCUACGUGACUCUUCUAAUGGAUUGCUGUUUCCGCUGCAUUUGUUGAUCUAAAACUUGUUGUCUAUUGUAUUCUAUUAGAUUUUUCCCUGUUGAAGACUAACGAUAAUUUGUUGUAUAUUAUCUUAGUCAUAAUAUUCUUUACUUGGCUAGUUGAGCUCACCCUUUUCCUUUUUGUUCCAUUUUUCUUCUCAGGAGGUGAGAACAUAGCAGGAUCGAGUCGGGGUAUGGAGUGAUGGUUCUAUGAAGAUGUUUUAGCUGUCCUCACUAUUUCUGUAAAAUAGUGUAUGAAUAAUUAAUGAGGACUUAUUUGGGUGUGUAUAUUAUUUAGAAGACAAUAUUUGUAUUCAAACUCAUAGUUGUAUUGUCGUAUUCUACACGACAUCUGUAUUGUCAAAGUUGUAGUUUGCUUUCUAUACCAUGUAUUUUGGCGACUCAGAAUGGGUGUUGUAUACCUAUUUUGGGGGCGUCACAUUGACA
rnacentral:lncRNA from 1 species